GCUGUUAACGCGAUUCAACCUUAAUAGGAUAUGCUAAACACUGCCGUUUGAAGUCUGUUUAGAAGAAACUUAAUCAAGCUAGCAUCAUGUUGGUUGUUUAUCACUUUUCAUGAUGCGAAACCUUUCGAUAAACUACACACGUAGAAAGAUGUGUAUCAGGACCUCUGGACGCGGGUUCAAAUCCCGCCGUCUCCAUUA
rnacentral:tmRNA from 1 species